GGGGUUGUGGCUCAGAGGUAGAGCAAUCGCCUAGCAUGUGUAAGGCACUGGGUUCCAUCCUCAGCACCACA
rnacentral:tRNA from 1 species